UACCACCCCUUCCCAUCCCGAACAGGACCGUGAAACGACUCCACGCCGAUGAUAGUGCGGAUCCCCGUGUGAAAGUAGGUAAUCGUCAGGC
rnacentral:rRNA from 1 species